rnacentral:rRNA from 1 species
CAUUUGCUGGAACGCGCCCCUGGCGCACCCAGAAACCCUUUGUGAACUUAUACCUUACUGUUGCCUCGGCGCAGGCCGUCCCCUGAUGGGGUCCCUCUGGAGACAGAGGAGCAGCCGGCCGGUGGCCAAAUUAACUCUGUUUUUACACUGAAACUCUGAGUACAAAACAUAAAUGAAUCAAAACUUUCAACAACGGAUCUCUUGGUUCUGGCAUCGAUGAAGAACGCAGCGAAAUGCGAUAAGUAAUGUGAAUUGCAGAAUUCAGUGAAUCAUCGAAUCUUUGAACGCACAUUGCGCCCUCUGGUAUUCCGGAGGGCAUGCCUGUUCGAGCGUCAUUUCAACCCUCAAGCCUGGCUUGGUGUUGGGGCACUGCUCUCUGACGAGAGCAGGCCCUGAAAUAUAGUGGCGAGCUCGCCAGGACUCCGAGCGUAGUAGUUAAACCCUCGCUUUGGAAGGCCUGGCGGUGCCCUGCCGUUAAACCCCAACUUCUGAAAAUUUGAC